AUAGAAUUUUAUAUUAACUUUACCUAGCGGUUAAUGCUGGUCUUUUGUUAAUAUUUGGUUGGGAGGAUUAUUAAAUUUAACAAACUUUAUAUCAUUAUAAACUUUGAUUUAAGAAAAUAUAAUGACCUUCAAUUUGAAAUAGUUAGAGUAAAUUACCUUAGGGAUAACAGCGUAAUAUUUUUUUAUAGACCUUAUAGAAAAAAAUGGUUGCGACCUCGAUGUUGAAUUAAGAUAAAUUUUAAAUGCAGGAGUUUAAUAAUUAAGUCU
rnacentral:rRNA from 1 species